AAGAGGCCAGACCAGCUAGAGGGUGGGUGUCUGACAUGCUGAGGGGGCAGGGGCAGGGCCUGGAGAAUAAGAGUGGCACCUCUCAAGCCCAGGCUCAAGCUCAAGGACAGAGCCCAGGCUCAGGUAGAGAGGAACCACAAGGACGGGCCACCAUCGGCACUGCGCUGAGACCCAGGCACUAUAGAAUUCAGAAGAUAGGAGUCUAGCAGCCUCCAGACAGGGCAAGGAGGGGACAGAGAAAGAUGUGGGUGCAGGACGCACAGACACCUCUCCUUCCCUGCCUGCUGAGCCACCCUCACCAGGCCCUCGGGAUCAGGUCCAAGUUCUUCUGCCUGGCGCUCAGUGGCAUCAUCUUCCGCUGACCUACAUUUCCAGCCAUAUCAUUCAUUUCUCCCACCUCAAACGCCAGCCUCCACCAUCCAGGACGAUUCACAGGUGAGAAAUCUGCAGUGAAGAAAGGUACAUCCCAAGGGGACACCGACAGUAAGCAGCGGAGCUGGGAUUCCAGACACGUGGCUGGGCCUCUGCAGGAAGAAAUCAAACGUGUGGAAGGGUUGGGGAGAGGAGAUGCCUAGAAGGGAUUUUCCUGUAUUCUCUUAGUGGUGGGGCCCAGGAUGUGGCAGCUGGUGGUGUUGGCUGAGCAGUCCCUCUCCAGGGGAAGGGGCUGGAUGAGUUCAGAGAGUUUGGCUGGGCGUGCCAGGCGCAACAGCAUGAUGUCCUGGUCAUGGCUGGCGGCAUCAUAGUCAGGGUGGAUCACAGCCCGGACAACAGAACUCUGCUCCUGGGAACUCUCCCUUUGCCGAAGGUUAUGCUUCCCCAGGAAGACCUGAAGAUUCCUGGGAAGGAAGAGGGCUGGGUCUCACCUGGAGCCCUUGGGCUGCAGUUGAGGCUUCAGAGAGGGCUGGGAAGUCAUGAAUCGCUGGCCUGCUCCUCCCA
rnacentral:lncRNA from 1 species